AAUCGUAGUUUGGUUGCUAACAUGCAACACAUUAUGAGAUACAAGUGAUGUACUAUCAGAUUGAGCCAUCCUUGCUCUUGUUGUAUUUUGAACUACUGACGACAUCAAAUUCGGAAGAAGACAUAUUCCUCUUAUCUAGACGUUUCCUUCAGGGAUGGAGGGAAUCGGUUGUAUGUGAUGGAUGAAGAUGAGGGCAGUGUCCAACAAUGGCAGGCGCCAUGCUGCUGACCGCGAUGGUGCUCGAGCCGAGUGUGCAGUAGAGCAGUGUGCUGCCACACAGAAAGGAGUUCCGGGAGAAGGUCCUGCAACAUGAUCGUUGGGAAGCUGUUCACCGCAGACAUGAUCGCUCAAACACCCGCAACGAUAACAUGGCCGACGCGAAGGGUUUCUCGACCUACGAUGACUUCCUUGCUGCGGUCGACAAGUUCAAGGACGGCUUUGGCGUGGUUGACGGCGAAGACGUGCAGAAGCAAGAGCUCGCGGCGUUCUUUUCUCAUGUUGCGCACGAAACCUCGUGUUAGUUUGAGCACCUGCUGGGAUGCAUGGCUUAGAGCGGAAGUUGCUUGGGAAGUGGUCAGUUUCCACUCCUCAGGUAGCGUUUGUUGCAGUGUUGGCCGGUUCUGAGGAGGGAGGUAGGGUGUGAUCACACUUCUCAAGCGCAAGUACGUGUGGCGAUAGUUAGGAAUCCACUGGACACGUGGGUUACUGCUGCAGUAGCUUCUGCCAUUACUCAUCGGUUCGGUGUCCGAUUGCAGGAUCAGUGUUCAUUUCGCAAUAUUUUGGCAUCUCUGUCAUUCUCACACAA